AUUGGGUGUGGCGGUGCACACCUGUAAUCCCAGCAGCUCAGGAGGAUGAGGCAGGAGGAUCUCAAGUUCAAAGCCAGCCUCAGCAAAAAUGCGAGGUGCUAAGCAACUCAGUGAGACCCUGUCUCUA
rnacentral:sRNA from 1 species